CCUACGGGAGGCAGCAGCAAGGAAUUUUCGGCAAUGGGCGCAAGCCUGACCGAGCAACGCCGCGUGGAGGAUGACGGCCUUCGGGUUGUAAACUCCUUUUCCAGGGGAUGAUGAUGACCGUACCCUGGGAAUCAGGCUCGGCUAACUCUGUGCCAGCAGCCGCGGUAAGACAGAGGAGCCAAGCGUUGUCCGGAUUGACUGGGCGUAAAGCGCACGCAGGCGGUGGGGCACGUGGGGUGUGAAAGCGGCCCGCUUAACGGGGCGAGGCCAUCCCAUACGGCCCGACUCGAGAGUGGCAGAGGUUCGUGGAAUUGCCGGUGUAGUGGUGAAAUGCGUAGAGAUCGGCAGGAACACCAAGGGGGAAACCAGCGAACUGGGCCAUAUCUGACGCUCAGGUGCGAAAGCGUGGGGAGCGAACCGGAUUAGAUACCCGGGUAGUCCACGCCGUAAACGAUGAAUACUCGGCAUCUGGUGGCCGAUCUUCGGCGGCCGGGUGCCCCAGCUAACGCGGUAAGUAUUCCGCCUGGGAACUACGAGCGCAAGCUUAAAACUCAAAUGAAUUGACGGG
rnacentral:rRNA from 1 species